rnacentral:tRNA from 1 species
AUUUAUUUAGUAUACUUAGUAUUCCUGACUUCCAAUCAGAGGGUCUGAUUAAUAUUCAGAAUAAAUA